rnacentral:rRNA from 1 species
AGAGACAGCAGUAGCCGCGGGAAUACAGAGGGUGCGAGCGUUAAUCGGAUUUACUGGGCGUAAAGCGUGCGUAGGCGGCUUUUUAAGUCGGAUGUGAAAUCCCUGAGCUUAACUUAGGAAUUGCAUUCGAUACUGGGAAGCUAGAGUAUGGGAGAGGAUGGUAGAAUUCCAGGUGUAGCGGUGAAAUGCGUAGAGAUCUGGAGGAAUACCGAUGGCGAAGGCAGCCAUCUGGCCUAAUACUGACGCUGAGGUACGAAAGCAUGGGGAGCAAACAGGAUUAGAUACCCCAGUAGUCCCUGUCUCUUAUAC